AUUGAACGCUGGCGGAAUGCUUUACACAUGCAAGUCGAACGGCAGCACGGGGGCAGCCCUGGUGGCGAGUGGCGAACGGGUGAGUAAUACAUCGGAACGUGCCCGGUCGUGGGGGAUAACGUAGCGAAAGUUACGCUAAUACCGCAUACGAUCUGAGGAUGAAAGCGGGGGACCUUCGGGCCACGCGCGAUCGGAGCGGCCGUUGCCAGAUUAGGUAGUUGGUGGGGUAAAGGCCGACCAAGCCGACGAUCUGUAGCUGGUCUGAGAGGACGACCAGCCACACUGGGACUGAGACACGGCCCAGACUCCUACGGGAGGCAGCAGUGGGGAAUUUUGGACAAUGGGCGCAAGCCUGAUCCAGCCAUUCCGCGUGCAGGACGAAGGCCUUCGGGUUUUAAACUGCUUUUGUACGGAACGAAAAGACUCUGGCUAAUACCUGGGGCUCAUGACGGUACCGUAAGAGUAAGCACCGGCUAACUACGUG
rnacentral:rRNA from 1 species